AGGGCCUCCUCCGCCCCAGGGUCCGGCCCAGGACGUCCGGCGGGGCGGGGCGGCGCCGGGGGGGGCAAGAGGCCGAGGGCACCCCGCCCCCACCCAGAACACAGGCCCCCAUUGAGAGGCGGCUGAGAGCCGCUUUGUCCGCGGUGCCCGCAGGCCCGGACCCUGCCAGCUGCCCUGGCUCCCGCCCCCCCAGUGGACAGCGCCGGCGGGCACCAGCCCGUGGCCUCAUCGCCCCACGACAGGCUGGGGCCACCCGGAGCCGCGGGCCGGUCGCCCAUCGGGUCCCCUUCCUUCGGGGCCGACCCUGCGGAUGGCCGCCCUGGCCCGAGGGCAGGGGCACAGGAGCUACCGGGUGGAGACCACGUUGGGGGGCAGUCAGUCCCCCUGCAAAUGUGUGCUGUCAGCUACCUGGGGGCGCUGGCCGGGGCUGCCUGCCACCCCACGGACAAAGUCAGGGGCCCAGUCGAGGCCUGGCGGCGGUGCCACCCUUGCCAGGGCACUUGGAUGUUUACCUCGUGAAGGGUCCCCACAGCCCGCGAGCAGCAGAGCAGACAGGUGUCCUCAUCAACCCUGUUGACAGGCGGGGAGGCCAGGGCUCACAGGAGCGUAGGCCUGGCCCCAGAUACUGCCGCCAGGGGAUGGGGGGCUCCAGUCAUCCAGCCGGAUCCCCUUCCCCAAGAGCAGGGGUGUGGACAGCGCCUCUCUGUGUCCCAGGAACGGAACCGGACAGCACAGGGCAGGCCCCGCAAAAUGUCAGUAAGUUAGGGAAGCACAGAGGGAAGAGGACGGCCUGGGCCCCAUGGGCGCUGGCACCCCGGCCCGGAACUGGGGCAGGCGGGCACAUGAUGGCAGGUGCAGGCGCAGGACCGGCCCAGGUGCAGCAGCAGAGGCGCCGGGCACAACCUGUGUCCAUCAGCCUGCAUGCGUGCCGGUCCCGUCCACGCCCUCCUAGGCACAAGCUCCGUGGCCGCUGCGUCCACGCUGUCACCGGUCCUUGCGGGACGUAACCCCUGUGGGCUGAGGGACUUUCAGAGGAAGGGUCGUCCCUUCCUGGCCAAGGCUGAUGCUCCCCCGGGUACUCAAGACCGCGUGUGACCUCUCUGCGUCAUCUCUUUAGUGCCCUUAGCUUCUUUCCCACCCAAAACGAAACCCCAAGUCUUCCCUCGUCAAACAAGCCCAAGCCCAAGCCCCAUGCUUCCCAAAACGCCCCCUUUUCUAGCUGCUUUCCUGCUUCUUCCCUUUAUUUCCCAGCUGGUCCUCCUCCAACCUGGCCCCGGGUGAGGCCUGCAGCGGGCCACCCACCUAGCUCGCAUCGACGGGGAGCCUUUAACCAGAAAACUCUAGGAAAACGUGCGGCCCUCGGGACAGCAGUGUUGCGCAGGGGCCGGGGCGGGAGGGCGGCCUGGGGG
rnacentral:lncRNA from 1 species